GGCCUCUGCGGUGUAGUGGUAGCACGUGUCCACGGUAUGGAUGAAAUGCGGGUUCAACUCCCGUCCACGGUCG